UUUUUUUUUAUAAUAAAACAUAUUUCAUUAAAGGAUUACUGGAAAUCGUCCAGCACAAUUGAGAUACAUUGCUGCCCUGAUGGCAGAUAAACAUGCACUAAAAUUAUAGAUCUGCAAUUUAACAAAUACAUAAGAUUUGAGAAAUUAAGAACAGAUCUAAAAAGUACCAUAAAUUUGAAAAACAUUUCAUCAUAGAAAAAGUCGCUGCAGUUCUCUUUGUGCAUGCUGUAAUCGUCAGAUCUGCUAAUCAACAGUUGUAAGGUCCAAUAAAGAUGGUGAGAUCUGCCGAGAUUGAUCCAAAUCUGAAAUAUUCCCUCAGAUCUGCUAUCCAACUGGUUCAAGUUCAAAACCGAAAAUGAGAUCUGAUGAGAAGACUGAAGAAAUUGUAGAUCUAACAUAUAGAUCUAAAAAAACUCCAAGAUCUGAAAAAGUAAAGAACAAAACUAAAUAAAACUCUCACUAAGAUAGUUUAGGAGAGACUAAAACCCUCAAUAGGACACCCUAGAAGAGAAGAAAACUCUCACUAUGAUAACUUAGGAGAGACUUUAUUGAAUGGAAGGAAGAGCAAAGGACAAAGGAAGAGGAAGGGAGACCUUGGUUUAAGGCUAAGAUCUCCCUCCUAUGGAGGAGGAAGGGUAGAGGAGGAAACCUAGAGAGAAGGAAGAGAAUCCCUCCGCUAAUAACACUUUAAUUAAGACAGGGAACAAAUUGCUCACCUGAUUCUGGGGUGCUCCCUACCCUUCUCAUGUUGGAUUUUUCACGCCUCUAUCACAUCUCCCCCUCUUCUCUCUCUUUCUGCCCUUUCAAAACCUUCUAUAGAAUAUAUUACUAUUUCAUUAGGGAAAUGUUAAUCACACUCUAAUUUUUUAUAAAGAUACUCCCACUGGUAUUUUUUUC
rnacentral:lncRNA from 1 species